rnacentral:rRNA from 1 species
AAUCAUUAGCCUCUUAAUUAGAGGCUAGAAUGAAUGGUUCAACAUUUCCUUAACUUUUUUAAAGAUUAUCAAAAAAUUUAUAUUAAAUAUAAAAAUAUAUUUAUAUCCCAAUUAGACGACAAGACCCUUUCAAACUUUACUGAAGUUAAGCUGGGGUAGCUUAAUAAUUAAUAUCUUAUUAUUUUCAAUAAAAAUAGACCCAAUUCAAAUUGAUUAAAUGAACAAGUUACUGAAGGGAUAACAGCAUAAUAAAUUUAUAUAGCUCUUAUUUAAAAAUUAGUUUAUGACCUCGAUGUUGAAUUAUUUUACUUACACGCGCAAGAGUGUGUAAAGUAGGUCUGUUCGACCUUUAAAUUUU